UACGAAGGGGGGCUAGCGUUGCUCGGAAUUACUGGGCGUAAAGCGUGCGCAGGCGGAUUUUCAAGUCAGGAGUGAAAUCCCAGGGCUCAACCCUGGAAUUGCUCUUGAAACUGGAUGUCUCGAGUCUCGGAGAGGUUGGCGGAAUUCCCAGUGUAGCAGUGAAAUGCGUAGAUAUGUGGAGGAACACCGUGGCGAAGGCGA
rnacentral:rRNA from 1 species